UGAAAACAUGGCUGUGGCAGGUUUGGCCUUUCUUUGUAGGAGAGUCUCAGCUGCCCUGAAAGCUUCCAGGUCGUUAAUAACUCCUCAGGUCCCUGCCUGCACAGGGUUUUUUCUUGGUUUGUUGCCUAAGAGUACACCAAAUGUGACAUCCUUUCACCAAUAUAGAUUACUUCAUACCACAUUGUCAAGAAAAGGACUAGAAGAAUUUUUUGAUGACCCAAAAAACUGGGGGCAAGAAAAAGUAAAAUCUGGAGAAGCAUGGACCUGUCAGCAACUAAGGAACAAAAGUAAUGAAGAUUUACACAAACUUUGGUUUGUCUUACUGAAAGAAAGAAACAUGCUUUUAACCCUAGAGCAGGAGGCCAAGCGGCAGAGAUUGCCAGUGCCAAGUCCAGAGCGGUUAGAUAAGGUAGCAGAUUCCAUGGAUGCAUUAGAUAAAGUUGUCCAGGAAAGAGAAGAUGCCCUAAGGCUUCUUCAGACUGGUCAAGAAAGAGCUAGACCUGGUGCUUGGAGAAGAGACGUCUUUGGAAGAAUCAUCUGGCACAAGUUCAAGCAGUGGGUUAUACCUUGGCACCUAAAUAAAAGAUAAAAUAGGAAACGAUUCUUUGCCAUGCCUUAUGUGGACCAUUUUCUCAGACUGGAACGUGAGAAAUGAGCUUGCAUCAAAGCACGGAAGGAAAAUUGAGAGAGAAAGAAAGCAAAAAUUCUUCUUAAAAAGUUUCCACAUCUUGCUGAAGCCCAGAAGUCAAGUCUUGUCUAAGAUGUCUGAACUCUUAAAUUUACCAUUUUGUUUUUCUUGAAUAGUCUGUGUACAAGAGUAAAUAUGUUAAGGGGUUUAUAAAGAAAAAAAAAAAAGAA